GAUGAACGCUAGCUACAGGCUUAACACAUGCAAGUCGAGGGGCAGCAUGGUCUUAGCUUGCUAAGGCCGAUGGCGACCGGCGCACGGGUGAGUAACACGUAUCCAACCUGCCGUCUACUCUUGGACAGCCUUCUGAAAGGAAGAUUAAUACAAGAUGGCAUCAUGAGUUCACAUGUUCACAUGAUUAAAGGUAUUCCGGUAGACGAUGGGGAUGCGUUCCAUUAGAUAGUAGGCGGGGUAACGGCCCACCUAGUCUUCGAUGGAUAGGGGUUCUGAGAGGAAGGUCCCCCACAUUGGAACUGAGACACGGUCCAAACUCCUACGGGAGGCAGCAGUGAGGAAUAUUGGUCAAUGGGCGAGAGCCUGAACCAGUCAAGUAGCGUGAAGGAUGACUGCCCUAUGGGUUGUAAACUUCUUUUAUAAAGGAAUAAAGUCGGGUAUGUAUACCCGUUUGCAUGUACUUUAUGAAUAAGGAUCGGCUAACUCCGUG
rnacentral:rRNA from 1 species